rnacentral:rRNA from 1 species
AUUGAACGCUGGCGGCAGGCCUAACACAUGCAAGUCGAGCGGAUGAAGGGAGCUUGCUCCUGGAUUCAGCGGCGGACGGGUGAGUAAUGCCUAGGAAUCUGCCUGGUAGUGGGGGAUAACGUCCGGAAACGGGCGCUAAUACCGCAUACGUCCUGAGGGAGAACGUGGGGGAUCUUCGGACCUCACGCUAUCAGAUGAGCCUAGGUCGGUUUAGCUAGUUGGUGGGGUAAAGGCCUACCAAGGCGGCGAUCCGUAACUGAUCUGAGAGGAUGAUCAGUCACCCUGGAAGUGAGCCGGGCACCAGGGGCCUACGGGAGGGAGCAGUGGGGUAUCUUGGACAAUGGGCGGGAACCUUAUCCAACCGGGCGGAGUGUGUGAAGAAGAUCUCCGGAUUGGAAAGCACGGUAUGUGGGGGGGAAGCGCAUUAGGUUGAUACCUAGCGUUAUUGACGGUACUGGGUAAAGAAGCACCGGCUAACUACGUG